rnacentral:rRNA from 1 species
CAGANUCUACGGGAGGCAGCAGUGGGGAAUUUUGGACAAUGGGGGAAACCUGAUCCAGCCAUCCGCGUGUGCGAUGAAGGCUUCGGGUUGUAAAGCACUUUGUCAGGGAAGAAAAGGUUUCGGAUAAUACCCGGAACUGAUGACGGUACUGAAGAAUAAGCACCGGCUAACUACGUGCCAGCAGCCGCGGUAAUACGUAGGGUGCAAGCGUUAAUCGGAAUUACUGGGCGUAAAGCGUGCGCAGGCGGUUCGGAAAGAAAGAUGUGAAAUCCCAGGGCUCAACCUUGGAACUGCAUUUUUAACUACCGGACUAGAGUAUGUCAGAGGGGGGUGGAAUUCCACGUGUAGCAGUGAAAUGCGUAGAUAUGUGGAGGAACACCGAUGGCGAAGGCAGCCCCCUGGGAUAAUACUGACGCUCAUGCACGAAAGCGUGGGGAGCAAACAGGAUUAGAUACCCUGGUAGUCCACGCCCUAAACGAUGUCAACUAGCUGUUGGGCCCUUCGGGGCUUAGUAGCGCAGCUAACGCGUGAAGUUGACCGCCUGGGGAGUACGGUCGCAAGAUUAAAACUCAAAGGAAUUGACGGGGACCCGCACAAGCGGUGGAUGAUGUGGAUUAAUUCGAUGCAACGCGAAAAACCUUACCUACCCUUGACAUGUCUGGAAUCCUGAAGAGAUUUAGGAGUGCUCGCAAGAGAACCGGAACACAGGUGCUGCAUGGCUGUCGUCAGCUCGUGUCGUGAGAUGUUGGGUUAAGUCCCGCAACGAGCGCAACCCUUGUCAUUAGUUGCUACAUUUAGUUGAGCACUCUAAUGAGACUGCCGGUGACAAACCGGAGGAAGGUGGGGAUGACGUCAAGUCCUCAUGGCCCUUAUGGGUAGGGCUUCACACGUCAUACAAUGGUCGGGACAGAGGGUUGCCAAGCCGCAAGGUGGAGCCAAUCUCACAAACCCGAUCGUAGUCCGGAUUGCAGGCUGCAACUCGCCUGCAUGAAGUCGGAAUCGCUAGUAAUCGCGGAUCAGCA